rnacentral:rRNA from 1 species
CUCCGGGGUGAUCCUGCCGGACCUGACUGCUAUCGGAUUGGUACUAAGCCAUGCGAGUCGUUGUAGCAAUACAAGGCGGACGGCUCAGUAACACGUAGUCAACCUAACCUAUGGACGUGGAUAACCUCGGGAAACUGAGAAUAAACCGCGAUAGAUCAUUAUGCCUGGAAUGGCUUAUGGUUCAAACAAUUUAUUGCCGUAGGAUGGGACUGCGGCCUAUCAGCUUGUUGGUGAGGUAAUGGCCCACCAAGGCUAUAACAGGUACGGGCUCUGAGAGGAGAAGCCCGGAGAUGGGUACUGAGACACGGACCCAGGCCCUAUGGGGCGCAGCAGGCGAGAAACCUUAGCAAUGUGCGAAAGCACGACUAGGUUAAUCCGAGUGAUUUCUGUUGAAGAAAUCUUUUGUCAGUCGUAAAACCACAGACGAAUAAGGGGUGGGCAAGUCUGGUGUCAGCCGCCGCGGUAAUACCAGCACCUCGAGUGGUCAGGAGGUUUAUUGGGCCUAAAGCAUCCGUAGCCGGCUACGCAAGUCUCCGGUUAAAUCCAGCUGCUCAACAGAUGGGCUGCCGGAGAUACUACAUAGCUAGGGAGCGGGAGAGGUAGACGGUAUUCUGUGGGUAGGGGUAAAAUCCACUGAUCCAUAGAGGACCACCAGUGGCGAAAGCGGUCUACCAGAACGCGUUCGACGGUGAGGGAUGAAAGCUGGGGGAGCAAACCGGAUUAGAUACCCGGGUAGUCCCAGCUGUAAACGAUGCAAACUCGGUGAUGCAUUGGCUUAUGGCCAAUGCAGUGCCGCAGGGAAGCCGUUAAGUUUGCCGCCUGGGAAGUACGGACGCAAGUCUGAAACUUAAAGGAAUUGGCGGGGGAGCA